rnacentral:rRNA from 1 species
GCUUGUCUCAAAGAUUAAGCCAUGCAGGUCUAAGUACACGCGGCCGGUACAGUGAAACUGCGAAUGGCUCAUUAAAUCAGUUAUGGUUCCUUUGAUCGCUCAUCCGUUACUUGGAUAACUGUGGCAAUUCUAGAGCUAAUACAUGCAAACGAGCGCUGACCCUCCGGGUAUGCGUGCAUUUAUCAGACCCAAAACCCAUGCGGGGCGUCCUCUCGGGGGCGCCCCGGCCGCUUUGGUGACUCUAGAUAACCUCGAGCCGAUCGCUGGCCCUCCGUGGCGGCGACGUCUCAUUCGAAUGUCUGCCCUAUCAACUUUCGAUGGUACUUUAUGUGCCUACCAUGGUGACCACGGGUAACGGGGAAUCAGGGUUCGAUUCCGGAGAGGGAGCCUGAGAAACGGCUACCACAUCCAAGGAAGGCAGCAGG